rnacentral:lncRNA from 1 species
CUAGACUUGGACUUCCCAGCCUCCAGAAAUGACUUCAUGUGCAAGCGCUUUGCCUUAAUGAGUACUGCAGCAAAUGCACAGUGAGGGACUCUUACCCAAGAAACCUAGAAUGAAAUCUGUGCUGCCUGCUACAACCUGUGGCUUUGGAUUUUCUCGAGGCCCCAGAGCGUCAGAGGAAGUUUUCCGAAUGGCACUCUGCGUGGGAAGGAGCUUGUGCACGUGCACGCUGCCACCAUCUGCCCUCAGCGCUGAUUCAGGAGGCGCUUCUCAACUAUAGCCCACAGUGUGACAACUGAACGUGUCCCCUCACGUUUCCAAAUACGGGGGGUGCAGGAGGCACUGCUCACUGUUGCACCCCCUGACCCACGCUGCCAGUCCUGCCCUCACUGCUGGGUGCUCACUGGGACCCUGGAAAGGUCUAGCUGAGCCUUUUAGGGCAUGAGGAUGUUGGGAGAAUAGAGGUGGCUCCUCUGAGAAGCCUGAGAAGUGAUCAGGCCAACCUUAGAAUCUCUGACUACUAGAGGCUUGACUUGCAGUGAAACCCGUCCUAAUUGAUGAAGAUCCUGUAUCGAGUUAGAGAAAUGGAAGAAACGACGCGGGGGUCUGGUUUGCCAGCCAACAGCUGUGGCUUAAAUCUGAGUCCUUUGGAAAGAAAGGAAGGCAUUCCUUUUAUUUCUAAUAUGGCUAAGGUGCAACAGAACCCCUGAAAUUUACCUGGCUGUGUAGCUGCCCAAAAUAAAGACUUUCCUUUCCCACCACCCCUGCAGCUCCAUGUGGUGUGUGGGCAAAUCCUGGCUGAUGGGAUGUGGGUAGAAGAGACGUGUGCUCAGGAAGAUGGCCCACGCAGGGAAGGAGCAGGUCUUGCGCUCCUCUCCAUCCCACUUGCCAGAAAAUUGCUGCAGUGGACACUGUGGCACUAUAGGUUCUGUGGACGCCACGGGCAUGGUGGUGAGCACCUUCAGCUGCAUGGAAGAGGUGUCAUUUCAGGGCGGUUCUGCACACAAUCUGCCCUGCACACAGGAGCUACUGUAUGAACCUCGCUCCCAGUGUGUGAGGAGAGAAGGACAGAAAUUGGGUCAGCUUUGAUAAACUUUCAUAGUACCUUGAUAUUGCCUUGACCUUCAAGCACAUGAUCUGUGGACCCACCUCAAUAUAUUGACCAGGCCUGGGCAUGAGUCAGGCACUUUUUAAGCCCAAUAAAGCUACAUAGGGGUCUGAGAUCGAUUGGAAAUUUAAAUGAUACUAGAAAUAAUGACAGUCGUACUCCAGAUUGUGUGAGAAACACAUCUGUAAGGGACGGCAGAGUCACGGAGAAAAGGAGGCAGGGCCUGGGUACCAUGGAACCAGCCGAACAGCCCCACCACGAAUCCUCCUACCUUUAGAGAAGAGAGAAACUCUUCCCUGGUUUAAGCUGUCAUAUUUGGGGGCCCAUUUGUUUCUCAGCCUAAGCUGUACCCCGUCGGGUGUGCCUAUAUGUGAAUAGCGUGUGGGCUCAGCUGAUGGACCAGACAUUCCAUGUACUGGCGCAUAACAUUCUGACUCGCGUGCAGUAAGAACAAAAGGAAAUACAGCCCAAUUUGGUAAAAUUCUCUCACAGCCUGGAAAAGAGCAUCCCGAACAGUGGAGAGGAAGAGGGAGUGAGGCCCUGUGGACACAGCAGAGGAAUCCACAAUGGAUUUGCAGCAGGCUGGUGGAGGCAGAGCAGAGAAGGGCGGGAGAGGGCCAGCGAAGGCCUGGGAAGGUGGACCCACAAACUCGUCUCCUAAUGAAGCUAACCAGCAAUGCGAGGGCACACAGGGAGACCCCCUAGAGGCUGCCCCAGGCCAGGAGUCACCUGUGAACUGAGGUGGCCAAGGCAGGUUCUGUGGCAGAGGGUGAAUGCCUGCAGAUGAGAACCAGCCGCGGUGCCCAGAAAGGAACAGUGUGCGGGCCUGACGGGAGCCCCCAUCAAUACAACCAGCUCCUGCUCAGAACUCUCUUCAGGCAGACAAAUAGAAGAUAUGUUUCUACUUCCCCAGGCCUCAGCACCAUGACUAUUCUAGUCCCAGUGGAUACCCUGCUUCAGGUUUUAUGCAGCUGAGUUGAAAAAGAAUAACAGAAUAGGAGGAAAACAAGGGGAAGAAGGUUGCAGUAAAGAAGCCGGCCAAAACCCACCAAAACCAAGAUGGUGACGAGAGUGACUCUGGUCGUCCUCACUGCUACACUCCCAUCAGCGCCAUGACAGUUUACAGAUGCCAUAGCAACGUCUGGAAGUUACCUGUACGGUCUAUAAAGGGGAGGCAUGAAUAAUCCACCCCUUGUUUAGCAUAUCAUCAAGAAAUAACCAUAAAAAUGGGCAACCAGGAGCCCUUGGGGCUCCUCUGCCUAUGGAGUGGCCAUUCUUUUAUUCCUUUACUUUCUCAAUAAACUUGCUUUCACUUUAAAAAAAAAAAAAAAAAAAAAAAAAAAAAAAAAAAAAAAAAAA